AGAAAAGAAAAAAAAACUUAUAUUUAAUCAGAUUUUAUGCAAAAGUUUAACUCUUACAUUUCAUAUUUUAAAAAAAUUUACUAUAUCAAUGAGUUUGCGUUUUUUUUUAAAAUUGUGACUUCACAUAGCAACUGCACUGACCUAUGUUUCAAAAUUCAACUCUAUUACAUGCGUGAUCGUUGAAAGUAGGAGCUAUUUUAAACGGUUUAAUUUUUU